AAAACGGCCCUCUUUAGGGCCACAAUAAUGCAUUCGACGUAGAAG
rfam:Aedes aegypti strain Liverpool supercont1.960 genomic scaffold, whole genome shotgun sequence.